rnacentral:snoRNA from 10 species
AUACUAUGAUGUUUGCAUAGUUCAGCAGAUUGAAUUAUGAAGAGAUCUACCAUUUGUCUGGUGUU